GACCUCGUAGCUUAGUUGGGAGAGCGUGCGCGUACAAAGCGUAGGCGGCGUCCAUGCGUGGGUUCGAAUCCCAAGGAGGCCA
rnacentral:tRNA from 1 species